ensembl:lncRNA
AUGGUAUUCCCCAUAGUAACCUAUGGAUGCGAGAGCUGGACCAUAAGGAAGGCUGAGCGAAGGAAGAUAGACGCUUUUGAACUCUGGUGUUGGAGGAAAAUCCUGAGAGUGCCUUGGACCGCAAGAAGAUCCAACCAGUCCAUCCUCCAGGAAAUAAUGCCUGACUGUUCACUGGAGGGAAGGAUAUUAGAGGCAAAGUUGAAGUAUUUUGGCCACAUCAUGAGAAGACAGGAAAGCUUGGAGAAGAGCAUGAUGCUGGGAAAAAUGGAAGGAAAAAGGAAGAGAGGCCGACCAAGGGCGAGAUGGAUGGACGGUAUCCUUGAAGGCACUGGCUUGACCUUGAAGGAACUGGGGAGAGACAGGAAAGCUUGGAAAAGAUCACGAUGCUGGGGAAAAUGGAAGGAAAAAGGAAGAGAGGCCGACCAAGGGCAAGAUGGAUGGAUGGGAUCCUUGAAGUGACUGGCUUGACCUUGAAGGAACUGCAGGCGGUGACGGCCGACAGGCAGCUCUGGUGUGGACUGGUCCAUGAGGUUACGAAGAUUCGGAAAUGACUGAGUGAUUGAACAACAGUGAGAUGUUUAAGCGUCCUUCCACACAGCCAUAUAACCCAGAAUAUUAACGCAGAUAAUCCACAAUAUCUGCUUUGAACUGAAUUAUCUGAGUCCAUACUGUCAUAUUUAUUUAUUUAUUUUCAACAUUUCUACCCCGCCUUUCUCACCCGAAGGGACUCAAGGCGGCUUACAAUAAUAGGCAAAAAUUCAAUGCCUAACACAAUACAUUAAAACAACAGUUCAUAUAAAACAAUAACAUAACAUAAUAAAACCCAUAAUACAAAAAUUUAAAAACGGAUCCAAGUUAAAAUCCAUUCAUCUAAAAUCCUCAUACGUAAAUCUUAGUCCAGACCAUGUGAAAUCGAUGUUUUCAUUCAUUAAAUGCUUGCGUACACAACCAUGUCUUUAAGGUUUUCCUGAAGCCCAGGAGAGUUGGACUCUGUCGAAUGUUGAUGGGGAGGAUGUUCCACAGCCGAGGAGCCACCACUGAGAAGGCCCUGUCCCUCGUUCCCAACAGCCGUGCCUGCGAGGCUGGCGGGACUGAGAGCAGGGUCUCCCUAGACAAUCUAAGGGUUCUAACAGACUCAUAGGAGGAGAUACGUUCGGACAGGUAAGAUGGGCCAGAACCCUUUAGGGCUUUGUAGAUCAAAACCAGCACUUUGAAUUGGGCUCAGUAGCAUAUUGGCAGACAGUGGAGCUGGCUUAACAAGGGAGUAGUACGCUCCCUGUAUGCCACCCCAGUUAUUAAUCUGGCUGCUGCCCGUUGUACUAAUUGGAGCUUCUGGGCCGUCUUCAAAGGCAGCCCCACAUAGAGCGCAUUGCAGUAAUCCAAGUGGGAGGUAACCAGAGUGUGGACCACCGUGGCCAAGUCAGACUUCCCAAGGUACAGGUGCAGCUGGCGCACAAGUCUUAGUUGUGCAAAUGUUCCCCUGGCCACUGCUGAGACCUGGGGCUCCAGGCUCAGUGACAAGUCCAGGAAAACACCCAGACUGCGAACCUGUGUCUUCAGGGGGAGUGCGACCCCAUCCAACACAUGCUGCAGCCCUAUACCCUGUUCGGCCCUGUUCGGCCCUACAACUGACCAGGAGGACCUCUGGCUUGUCUGGAUUCAAUUUCAAUUUGUUCGCCCUCAUCCAGUCCGACACAGCGACCAGACA